CCUACGGGCGGCAGCAGUGAGGAAUAUUGGUCAAUGGACGAGAGUCUGAACCAGCCAAGUAGCGUGAAGGAUGACUGCCCUAUGGGUUGUAAACUUCUUUUAUAAAGGAAUAAAACGAGGCACGUGUGCCUUUUUGCAUGUACUUUAUGAAUAAGGAUCGGCUAACUCCGUGCCAGCAGCCGCGGUAAUACGGAGGAUCCGAGCGUUAUCCGGAUUUAUUGGGUUUAAAGGGAGCGUAGGUGGGUUGUUAAGUCAGUUGUGAAAUUUUGCGGCUCAACCGUAAAAUUGCAAUUGAUACUGGCAGUCUUGAGUACAGUUGAGGUAGGCGGAAUUCGUGGUGUAGCGGUGAAAUGCUUAGAGAUCAUGAAGAACUCCGAUCGCGAAGGCAGGUGUCCGGGGUGCAACUGACGCUGAGGCUCGAAAGUGCGGGUAUCAAACAGGAUUAGAUACCCCUGUAGUC
rnacentral:rRNA from 1 species